AUGCAACGCGAAAAACCUUACCUACCCUUGACAUGCCACUAACGAAGUAGAGAUACAUUAGGUGCUCGUAAGAGAAAGUGGACACAGGUGCUGCAUGGCUGUCGUCAGCUCGUGUCGUGAGGUGUUGGGUUAAGUCCCGCAACGAGCGCAACCCUUGUCGUUAAUUGCCAUCAUUUAGUUGGGCACUUUAGCGAGACUGCCGGUGACAAACCGGAGGAAGGUGGGGAUGACGUCAAGUCCUCAUGGCCCUUAUGGGUAGGGCUUCACACGUCAUACAAUGGUCGGUACAGAGGGUUGCCAAGCCGCGAGGUGGAGCCAAUCCCAGAAAACCGAUCGUAGUCCGGAUUGGAGUCUGCAACUCGACUCCAUGAAGUCGGAAUCGCUAGUAAUCGCGGAUCAGAAUGUCGCGGUGAAUACGUUCCCGGGUCUUGUACACACCGCCCGUCAAACCAUGGGAGUGGGUCUCACCAGAAGUAGGUAGCCUAACCGUAAGGAGGGCGCUUACCACGGUGGGAUUCAUGACUGGGGUUAAGUCGUAACAAGGUAGCCGUAUCGGAAGG
rnacentral:rRNA from 1 species